AGGUAACGGGGCUGGAGCUUCCACAUCCAGCUCGGAGUCAUGCGAAACACGAGGCAUGGUCCCCUUGAGUGAAAGGCUACAGACCUUCUACCAGCUGCUUCUCAUGCAGCCUCUGCUCCAUCUCCUCACCUGUGCACUCUCUGCGCAGCCCAGCCUUGUGUGCCCUCCUCAGUCCCAGGCAGAGCAGGAACAGGAAUACAUGGACAGCAGAAGUGUUCAUCAGUGAAAUAACUGAAGUACAGAACAAAUAGCACUGGGUUGUGCAAUACUUUUCGUUGAAAACGGGAUUCAGCUCACGUUAUUUCACCUAACUGGGCUGAUGUUGAGUGAAGAAAAAGCUGUUUUGCUGACAGCCCUGGUCGCCAGCCAGUUCCACGUAUUCAGGAUGUUCCCUCAGAAAAUGAUUGUCUUGUCCUGAUGUCAGGCGUGUCCUGGAGCCCCAGCACAGCACUGUGCAUAGCAACUGGAGACGUACAAGCCAACCUUCCAAAAACUGCUGGCACACAGCUCCAUUGCCAUACAGGUAUUUUGAAUGGGAAGAAGGCGCUUUUCUCAUCCAAGCUUCAGGGUUAUGAGCAUUAACAGAGCAAGGACUAUGUGUUACCCUCUACCAGGAAAGCAGCUUGCUCUUUCUGAGUGCUACUGUCUUCAUGUUGUAAUGGUAAGAGAGCAUGGCCCUGUGCAGGUCUGAAGCACUGCCCUGAUGAUCCUGUGCUGCCCUGCAACAUGAUGCAGAUGGAUAAGAUGUAUUAAAACAAUCCUGCUGAUGGCUGAGGACCUGUUCUGUUAACUCCACUCACUUGUCACUGCUUCUGCUGCCUGCUGUAAAAGGAUCAGACGAAGAUCCGGUGAGAGACAGGAAAAUACAGCUGGAGAGAAGGAAAGAAGAACAACUCUUUGUAAUCUGCUGUAAUUGUUGACUAUGGGGGAAACACCCAGGGUACAAAAUCAACUCAGGAGGACAUAGUGAGUGAUGGUGAGCAUUUUUCUCCCUUUCCAGGAGCUGCAGAUCUUUGGACAAACUCCUGAGUGACAGAGGCAAGUGAAUCUGCCAGUGGGUGGUGCAUGGGCAUCUCUAAUGCUUGCAAAUAUAAGCCUAGCGCUGCCCGUGCCCGCUGCAUGUAUUCUAUUUAUAGCACAGCAGAGGGAGUGUUGGCAAAGCAUCUCAAGAGGAGCAACCUUUUGUUAUACCUACGGCUGCUCCCUUCCUGUUACUGCAACUGACACAAAAAUAAUCACAAUAAUAAGGAUUGUGAGGUUAACUGAUCCUCUGCCUUGUCACCAUGCUGCAGCCUACUCGGCCAUAGCCUGGUUAUUGCAUCUUGUGUUCCUGUGAUUUCUCACAGGGAAGGAAGCACCUGAAACACCUCAGGACAUUUAUGAUCCGUUCACCUGGCUGCUUCUCUCCACAGCUUGCUCUGUUCUGUUUUUUUUUCCAUGUCUGCUAGAAGGUCAGAUCAAGAUGUUGAUUUUCCUCAUGCUGUUCUCCAGGCUGGGGAACUAUAUUUGAAAUCAGAGAGUGAGCUGUGUGUUAAGAAAUAGCUCUGGCACGAUAAUGUUUAAAAUUACUCUUUGUUUCCCUGACUUCUCUCCCAAUUUAGAUUAUCCAAAUGCAGAUUUCCCCCAGACUUGCCCACAAGAUGGAAUUCUAAGAAAAUACUGGGUUUUUAAAUUUAUUUAUUUUUUUUUUUUAGCAUCCACAUUUCUCACAUUUCCUGUUUCAAUUUCAAAGUGGUCCUGAGCUCCCCUGUGAACAUUGCUCCAGCUGUUAUUUUGGGGAUCUGAGAGAGGAGAGAAAAAAACAAAACAAGAUGUGGGGAAUACUUUUCUUGCCUUUCCCCCUUGUCAUCCACAGGUUCUCGUCUAAAAAGGCGGAGCUUGAAGUCUCUCUAUCUCUUGGAAGGCAUUUUUGGCAAUUGCAUUCUGAAUACGGGAAACUCCGGUUAUUUUGGAUGAAUGUUUGUUUCCUCAGAAACCCUCUGCAACAAUUAGUUAAAAAAAAACCCCAAAGACUGAGAGAGCAAAGAAAAGGGACUCUUUUGCAAUGUUUGAACAACACCCACCGCUCCUCUGUAGAAACGUGAUCCCUGAAGGGAAAGGGAUUAUAUUCUCCACCAGGCAUUUGACUAGGCUGGAUUUUUUUCCCCUCGCCCAGAAGGAAGGCUGUGGACAACCAGAGGUGCAGGGUGCAACCCCACAGCCAGGGCAGCAGAGGGGCUGGAUGGGAGCUGGAGUCACUCCUGUCACUCGUUUCCCCGCCUUCCUCGGGAUCAGUGUGACCUGGGUGACAUCCCCACACACUGCACUAAGGGAUGACACAAAAUCUUUAAAAAAUAAACAAAAGGAAGAACAGGUCUAAGAUCUACCGAAA